rnacentral:lncRNA from 1 species
CGCCUGCGAGCGGGGUCUGGGCUUCGCGCGUGAGAAGCCGCGGCGGGAAGUUCCCAGGCCCGGGGACGUGUGCGGGGAACCUGGGCCCGGGCCGCGGGGACAUCGCGCCGGGGAGCUAGGGAGAGGAGUUGGGAUGCAGAAACUUUUACGAUGUCUGCCUUGAACAUCCCACAAAAGCAGGAGAAAGGUCAGAGGGGCGAAUGAGUCACAAAAGUUGCCUGGCAAGCGGGGUCCGGCACCGAUCCUCAGCUCCUGUUGGACCCCCCGGGCGUGGGCGAGCAUUCCUAACCCCUUCAACCCAAGCGCCUGCCAGAAGCCAGAGCGUGGCCAUUGCGCUCCUGCUGGAAAGGGGGGGGAACAUCCCCUCGGGGCAGUAGUUUGCCCGAGACCGAUUCUCUGCCCUCUCCAACUGUUGGCGCGCACUUGCGACUUUUCAUCCUCAACUUAAAAGACUAUUCAGUGGUUCGGAUGCACGCAGUGUCUUCCUCGCUCCCCGCCACACUUGGAAGAGAUUUAAGGAGCUUUGAACGGUGCUCACAAAGGGAAGAUCUUUACCUGUUGAAGACUGACUAGCGAUGGAGAACGGCCCACAGAGACGGCCCACUUCAUCUUCCCCACUAACUAAUGUACUUACUCUGUUGAAGGGAACUGUUCAGAAUCAGCAAGCCAGUGAAAUAGCCUUAUCUAGCAAAUCCAUGGCUCAAAAUUAUUUAGGUCAGCAAGGCUCAGAUAAGACACACGGUGAAAGAUUCUGACUUUAAGUUUUGGAGUUCUUGAGCUGCCUCAGGAACUUCAAAAGGGAUUCUACUGGGCAAAUGGCCCUUUGUCAUCAACACUACAGCAAAAGAAAGGGCACAGCCUCCAGAAAGGGUGGACACCCAUAAGGCAGUUAAAGUGGGGAAACUUAGUCAAAUGCCAGAGGUUUUGGGGUGGAAAAAGAAGGGAAAUCACUCUCCUUACACUAUUUAUCAUGGAGAAACUGAUGCCUCUCGCCAGGCUUGCUACUCUAUUUAUUUCAACGUUGCAAGGAGUUCACUUGGAAAUAAGUGUUGAUUCAGGGUGGAAAAAGUGUUGAUGAAAGUAUGGUGUUGGAAAAAAUAGAGGAGAAUAUUUUUAAUAAUGUAGAGAACUCCUUACUUGAGUAAAAAAAAUCUAUACCAGUCGGACAAAGUGGCUUAUGCCUUUAAUCCCAGGACACGGGACGCAGAGGCAGGUGACCACAACUACUGGAAUUUCGAAAGCAACAGACGAAUUAAGUCCAGAUGAGUGUUUCACGACUCUCCAUUCCACCCUCUGAUUUCUAUAGAAACUGUAGCUCAGACAUAUUGCUGAGAAGAAUGCCCAUUGGUCAGUUGCUUUGUAGCAACUUGGCAGUUACUCAAAAAGCUAAACAUAGGUUUAUUGUAAGGCAUCCACAAAAUUCCUAAGCUGAA